AGAGUUUGAUCCUGGCUCAGAGCGAACGCUGGCGGCAGGCCUAACACAUGCAAGUCGAACGGGCCCUUUCGGGGGUCAGUGGCAGACGGGUGAGUAACGCGUGGGAACGUGCCCAUCGGUUCGGGAUAACCCAGGGAAACUUGGGCUAAUACCGGAUACGCCCUUUUGGGGAAAGAUUCAUUGCCGAUGGAUCGGCCCGCGUCUGAUUAGCUGGUUGGUGAGGUAAUGGCUCACCAAGGCGACAAUCAGUAGCUGGUCUGAGAGGAUGAUCAGCCACACUGGGACUGAGACACGGCCCAGACUCCUACGGGAGGCAGCAGUGGGGAAUAUUGGACAAUGGGCGCAAGCCUGAUCCAGCCAUGCCGCGUGAGUGAUGAAGGCCCUAGGGUUGUAAAGCUCUUUCACCCACGACGAUAAUGACGGUAGUGGGAGAAGAAGCCCCGGCUAACUUCGUGCCAGCAGCCGCGGUAAUACGAAGGGGGCUAGCGUUGCUCGGAAUCACUGGGCGUAAAGGGCGCGUAGGCGGCCGAUCAAGUCAGGGGUGAAAGCCUGUGGCUCAACCACAGAAUUGCCUUUGAUACUGUUCGGCUCGAGACCGGAAGAGGUUGGUGGAACUGCGAGUGUAGAGGUGAAAUUCGUAGAUAUUCGCAAGAACACCAGUGGCGAAGGCGGCCAACUGGUCCGGUUCUGACGCUGAGGCGCGAAAGCGUGGGGAGCAAACAGGAUUAGAUACCCCCGUAGUCC
rnacentral:rRNA from 2 species